GACGAACGCUGGCGGCGUGCUUAACACAUGCAAGUCGAACGGAAAGGCCUGCUUUCCCUUGUGGAUUGCGGGUGCUCGAGUGGCGAACGGGUGAGUAACACGUGAGUGAUCUGCCCCCAACUUGGGUAUAAGCCUGGGAAACUGGGUCUAAUUCCCGAUAGGACUGCAGGGUGGUGCCUGUGGUGGAAAACGAUUUUCUAGUGGUUGGGGAUGAGCUCGCGGCCUAUCAGCUUGUUGGUGGGGUAAUGGCCUACCAAGGCGGCGACGGGUAGCCGGCCUGAGAGGGUGGACGGCCACAUUGGGACUGAGAUACGGCCCAGACUCCUACGGGAGGCAGCAGUGGGGAAUAUUGCACAAUGGGCGGAAGCCUGAUGCAGCGACGCCGCGUGGGGGAUGACGGCCUUCGAGUUGUAAACUCCUUUCGACCGCGAGGAAGCCACCUGGUUGGAAGGGUGGUGACGGUAGUGGUAGAAGAAGCACCGGCUAACUACGUG
rnacentral:rRNA from 1 species